AGCUUGCUCCUUUGACGUUAGCGGCGGACGGGUGAGUAACACGUGGGUAACCUACCUAUAAGACUGGGAUAACUUCGGGAAACCGGAGCUAAUACCGGAUAACAUUUGGAACCGCAUGGUUCUAAAGUGAAAGAUGGUUUUGCUAUCACUUAUAGAUGGACCCGCGCCGUAUUAGCUAGUUGGUAAGGUAACGGCUUACCAAGGCAACGAUACGUAGCCGACCUGAGAGGGUGAUCGGCCACACUGGAACUGAGACACGGUCCAGACUCCUACGGGAGGCAGCAGUAGGGAAUCUUCCGCAAUGGGCGAAAGCCUGACGGAGCAACGCCGCGUGAGUGAUGAAGGGUUUCGGCUCGUAAAACUCUGUUAUUAGGGAAGAACAAAAGUGUAAGUAACUGUGCACGUCUUGACGGUACCUAAUCAGAAAGCCACGGCUAACUACGUGCCAGCAGCCGCGGUAAUACGUAGGUGGCAAGCGUUAUCCGGAAUUAUUGGGCGUAAAGCGCGCGUAGGCGGUUUCUUAAGUCUGAUGUGAAAGCCCACGGCUCAACCGUGGAGGGUCAUUGGAAACUGGGAAACUUGAGUGCAGAAGAGGAAAGUGGAAUUCCAUGUGUAGCGGUGAAAUGCGCAGAGAUAUGGAGGAACACCAGUGGCGAAGGCGACUUUCUGGUCUGUAACUGACGCUGA
rnacentral:rRNA from 1 species